GACAAAACAGUCCAGAUGUAACAUGCACUGUCUUUCCACUGUUAGCAGAUUCCGCUUUCUGCUGUUACUAGGAUAUACAACAAUGUUUAGAUGAGGGAUAUAUGUUGGACAUGAAACAAUUACUACCUUUGCUGAUUAUCAUACAUUGUCACAUGAUACAAGGGGUUUUGUAUUGGACAGUUACUGGAAAGGUAACAGAUUAUGGACAAAACUUGACAUUAUUUUGCCAUGUCCCAAACUGUUGUCCAAAGGAUGCAGGAUGGGACAGAUGGACUCCAGUACAACAGACCCUGUUUAUAGAUGUCAAAACAGGACGAUCUAAUAAAAAGUAUGAUGGAAAGGUUGAGAAAGAUGGAUACACCUUAGUUAUACAAAAUUUGACAAAAGAAGAUCUUAAUGCUUCGUAUUCCUGCUUGUAUGGUGUAACAAUAGGACAAAGUAAACUUUUAUUGGAAGAAGAAGUAU